rnacentral:misc_RNA from 1 species
AGAAUAUAUAUUUACCAUGCCAAUACUUGAAUUGUUUGAUUUUUCAUUUUUUUUUUUGUUACUUCAUUAUAGUCAUGUACAUCCAGCAAUUUUUGAGAGGAAUUAUUUAUUUGCUGAAAGCACCAUCAUGCUGUCUUCCAUUUUCUUUGUAUGAAUUAGCUUACUGGUAUAAAUGAGGUUCCAAUUGUCUCACUUUUCACAUUUACCAAUAGAUAGAUAUUUACCAUGAAGUACAUGUUAAUUGAUACAAACAAGAUUUUAUAAGGUCAACAAAUUACUAGUAUAUUUUUUCUCUAUUGAUUAUGUAUCGAUCUUUUUACUAUACUCCGUUUUUGCCUUUGAAAAUAGCCCUAUGAUAGAAAACUAUAUAGUAAGAUUUCUGUUUGAGAGGUUAUAAUAUUCUUUAAUAAAGGUUGAUUU